UACGUAGGGGGCAAGCGUUGUCCGGAUUUAUUGGGCGUAAAGCGCGUGUAGGCGGUCCGGUAAGUCCGCUGUGAAAGUCGAGGGCUCAACCCUCGAAUGCCGGUGGAUACUGUCGGGCUUGAGUACGGGAGAGGCGAGUGGAAUUCCUGGUGUAGCGGUGAAAUGCGCAGAUAUCGGGAGGAACACCAGUAGCGAAGGCGGCUCGCUGGGCCACACCUGACGCUGAGACGCGAAAGCUAGGGGAGCGAACAGG
rnacentral:rRNA from 1 species